UGCCCUGUAGCUGCUGG
rnacentral:misc_RNA from 1 species